AACGAACGCUGGCGGCAUGCCUAACACAUGCAAGUCGAACGAGACCUUCGGGUCUAGUGGCGCACGGGUGCGUAACGCGUGGGAACCUGCCCUUAGGUUCGGAAUAACUCCCCGAAAGGGGUGCUAAUACCGGAUAAUGUCUUCGGACCAAAGAUUUAUCGCCUUUGGAUGGGCCCGCGUUGGAUUAGCUAGUUGGUAGGGUAAAAGCCUACCAAGGCGACGAUCCAUAGCUGGCCUGAGAGGAUGAUCAGCCACACUGGGACUGAGACACGGCCCAGACUCCUACGGGAGGCAGCAGAGGGGAAUAGUGGACAGUGGGCGAAAGCCUGAUCCAGCAAUGCCGCGUGAGUGAUGAAGGCCUGAGGGUUGUAAAGCUCUUUUAACCAGGAUGAUAAUGACAGUACCGGGAGAAUAAGCCCCGGCUAACUACGUG
rnacentral:rRNA from 1 species